ACGGGGUUAAUUCUGGGAGCAGUUUUUGGAAUUGUAUUUCCUAUCCGGGGGGGAAAAUCCAAGUCAGUAUCCCAAAAUGGAUCAACAGUUAUUGAAACAAUUUAUCUUAAAAACAUGUUUCUACAUGCGUGUUGUCGCGUUUGACCCAAAGAAAUGAUUUUUUUUGGGGGGGAGGAGGGGAUUUUACUGUUCCAAUUACUGCCUCUCCAUGUCUCCCAAUCUCUUGCUGGUUGUGUGUGCGCACCAACGCAUGUCUUGUAGUCCAGCAUGAAGUCACACCAACACCACAGCAGGCGCUGCUCCUCAGAUCAGCAGCAACACACACAUCAGGGUGUUAAUUGUUGUGAUGACACCUUUUGAUAACAAGGCUCUAAUUAUCAACAUGUUUGACUGUUGGGGAGGGUGUCUGCCACUUGGUGGUGUACACUUUGAUAUUCACUUGGUUUAAAUGAUUCCUGUUAUUAACCACCGUUACUGUGGUAACAUGAGACCCAACAAACAUAACAUGGGCGUCGUUCUCGCUAUUUCCGUGUCUAAGUUGGCUGUCAAAGUGUACAAACUUGUCUUCAUAUGUCUUCGUUUUUUCUAUCAUCCAGGUGAGAGGCAUGGUUUAUGAUGUAGGAUAAAGUUUGAAGGAAGCAGCUGAUCAGUCGAUGAAUCCAACUCCGCUAAAAUAACAGUGGCUUCCGUUUUUUUGACUGGCUCAGCCAGAGCCCUGACCUAAACCCAAUUGAGCAUCUCUGGAGAGACCUGAAAACGGCUGUCCGCCAACGUUCGCCAUGCAACCUGACGGAACUGGAGAGGAUCCCCAAAUCCAGGAGGACACGGUCUGCAGAGGCCAGUGGUCCUGCUGCUUCGCACUGGGAGCUCCACGUUACCCAGUUAUCCAUGACAACCAGGGAGGGAACAUGCAAAAGCUCAGCUGUGGUCAGAGAGCACUCGGUCGGAGCACACAGGGAAGAACAAAGCCUUCACUGAUUUUCAUUUUUACCCCCCUUCUUUGUCUGCUCUACUUUGUCCACACAAGUGUCUCGCUUUUCUUUACUGGACAUAAAGAAGCUUUUGAAGAAGACACACACACACACUACACACUACACAAACAUACGCACACAUGCUUUAGUGGCAAAUUGAAUCAUGUUCGUUCAAUAAAUCAUACGGUUUCCUUUCAUGGGAUCUGCUAAUGUUUUGGCGAAAUAUGCAAAGCGGCGUGUAAAAAAAAAGCCUUAGAAAAAGCAGACACAAUACUCGCCUGGGACAGUUGAUCAAUACAACAAACAUCUUUAUUAGGGACUGCAUGGUGGCAGACUUUUCAUGUGGUCUGAAGUGUAGAAAAUGUCCAUUUUAAACGGAUAGGCUCUGCUCAGCCCGGGCAAAUAGGCUUAAGCUAAUCCUGUCACAGACUCUCCUGAAGAAAUGAAUUGACGACAAAUGAGUAUAACGUGAAAUCCUGCAGACAAAGGAUUCAUUUGAUGACGAAAAACGCUCAAAUCCGGCGAAGAAAUAGUCGUAUUAGAGCAGGCCU